ACCGUGGCUUUAGAUUGUUACUCUUUGCAAGAGCUCCAUGGUAACAGUCUACAGCCAUGGUCG
rnacentral:pre_miRNA from 1 species